UACAUUUUAGUAUAUGACGUACAUAAGUUUUUGAUACUUAGGGAAAUAGUUUAAUUCUAUUAAAUGUAG
rnacentral:tRNA from 1 species